rnacentral:tRNA from 1 species
GUUCGCAUUGGAUUGUUAAUGCGGGUGCUCCCUUUAAAUCAAAAGAGAAUGGGCGCACAACCGAUACCAUUG